rnacentral:rRNA from 1 species
GCGGCCGUAACUAUAACGGUCCUAAGGUAGCGAAAUUCCUUGUCGGGUAAGUUCCGACCUGCACGAAUGGCGUAAUGAUGGCCAGGCUGUCUCCACCCGAGACUCAGUGAAAUUGAACUCGCUGUGAAGAUGCAGUGUACCCGCGGCAAGACGGAAAGACCCCGUGAACCUUUACUAUAGCUUGACACUGAACAUUGAGCCUUGAUGUGUAGGAUAGGUGGGAGGCUUUGAAGUGUGGACGCCAGUCUGCAUGGAGCCGACCUUGAAAUACCACCCUUUAAUGUUUGAUGUUCUAACGUGGACCCGUAAUCCGGGUUGCGGACAGUGUCUGGUGGGUAGUUUGACUGGGGCGGUCUCCUCCUAAAGAGUAACGGAGGAGCACGAAGGUUGGCUAAUCCUGGUCGGACAUCAGGAGGUUAGUGCAAUGGCAUAAGCCAGCUUGACUGCGAGCGUGACGGCGCGAGCAGGUGCGAAAGCAGGUCAUAGUGAUCCGGUGGUUCUGAAUGGAAGGGCCAUCGCUCAACGGAUAAAAGGUACUCCGGGGAUAACAGGCUGAUACCGCCCAAGAGUUCAUAUCGACGGCGGUGUUUGGCACCUCGAUGUCGGCUCAUCACAUCCUGGGGCUGAAGUAGGUCCCAAGGGUAUGGCUGUUCGCCAUUUAAAGUGGUACGCGAGCUGGGUUUAGAACGUCGUGAGACAGUUCGGUCCCUAUCUGCCGUGGGCGCUGGAGAACUGAGGGGGGCUGCUCCUAGUACGAGAGGACCGGAGUGGACGCAUCACUGGUGUUCGGGUUGUCAUGCCAAUGGCACUGCCCGGUAGCUAAAUGCGGAAGAGAUAAGUGCUGAAAGCAUCUAAGCACGAAACUUGCCCCGAGAUGAGUUCUCCCUGAGACUU